CUUAGAAUAAAAUUAUACAGAGAAGAUUAGCAUGUCACCUGUGCAGGGGUGAUACACAAAUUUGUGAAGCAUUCCAUAUUUUC
rnacentral:snRNA from 1 species